rfam:Cavia porcellus supercont2_64 genomic scaffold, whole genome shotgun sequence.
GUGGAUUUAGCUCAGUGGCAUAAGCACCUGCCUUGCAAGCAGGCAGUCGUGAGUUCGAUCCCUGGUAUCAAUA